rnacentral:rRNA from 11 species
GUUUUGAGCUUAUACACCCUAAAGGCAUCAAGUGCUUGUAUGAUUUUGGAAGCUGAGCAAGGUCAAACUUGGUUGGUACUUGGAUAGAAGACUGCCAAGGAGUACCAGGUGCUAUAAGCU